rnacentral:rRNA from 1 species
AUUGAACGCUGGCGGCAGGCCUAACACAUGCAAGUCGAGCGGAUGAGAGAAGCUAGCUUCUCGAUUCAGCGGCGGACGGGUGAGUAAUGCCUAGGAAUCUGCCUGGUAGUGGGGGACAACGUUUCGAAAGGAACGCUAAUACCGCAUACGUCCUACGGGAGAAAGCAGGGGACCUUCGGGCCUUGCGCUAUCAGAUGAGCCUAGGUCGGAUUAGCUAGUUGGUGAGGUAAUGGCUCACCAAGGCGACGAUCCGUAACUGGUCUGAGAGGAUGAUCAGUCACACUGGAACUGUGGCACGGUCCAGACUCCUACGGGAGGCAGCAGUGGGGAAUAUUGGACAAUGGGCGAAAGCCUGAUCCAGCCAUGCCGCGUGUGUGAAGAAGGUCUUCGGAUUGUAAAGCACUUUAAGUUGGGAGGAAGGGUUGUAGAUUAAUACUCUGCAAUUUUGACGUUACCGACAGAAUAAGCACCGGCUAACUCUGUGCCAGCCGCCGCAGUAAUAC